GACGAACGCUGGAGGCGUGCUUAACACAUGCAACUCAAACGAUGAAAUGGAGCUUGCUCCAUGGAUUACUGGCGAACGGGUGAGUAACACGUGAAUAACCUGCCCUUAAUUUUGGAAUAACCCAGGGAAACCUGGGCUAAUAACGGAUAAGUAAACCUGUGGCAUCACAUGGUUUUGGAAAGUUUUCCGAUUAAGGAUGGAUUCGCGGCCUAUCAGCUUGUUGGUGAGGUAAUUGCCCACCAAGGCGACGACGGGUAGUCGGCCUGCGGGGGUGAACGGCCACACGGGGACGGAGACGCGGUCCAGACUCCUUCGUGAGGCAGCAGUGGUGAAUAUUGCGCAAUGGACGAAAGUCUGGCGCAGCGACGCAUCGUGAGGGACGAAGGUCUUCGGAUUGUAAACCUCUUUCAGCAGGGACGAAGCGAAAGUGACGGUACCUGCAGAAGAAGCACCGGCUAACGAUGUGCCAGCCGCCGCCGUAA
rnacentral:rRNA from 1 species